CCGGGCCCGGCCCCGCCGCUUCUCCGCGGGGCUCCGGCGGCGCCUUCCUGGCCCCCUUCCCCCUUCCUGCCCCCCGCGCCCCUUCCCUCAGCCCCACGUCCCCCCCGACCGCCGCUCCGAGCCAGGGCGCUGGGGGGAAGAAGGGGGGAUUCCGUUGUCACGAGGGGCGGGCUGCCGGCCCUGUCCUCAGCUGAUCCUCACGCAGGGUGAGCUCCCGGCUCGCCCCGCUGCUUCCCCCCCACCCCGGCUUUCCGCGUCGUGCCGCCCCUCUGCCGUCCGCGGACGCGGUCCCGGCGCCCCCCAGCCCGCCGCUGCCAGCGGAAGGACGUGGGGGCGCGGCGGGGCGAGACCGGGAGCGGCUUAGCCGCGGGGCUUCCAGAAGGCUUUAUAGUACCUCAGCAGUAAGAGGAGCUCGUUCCUGUUCACCAUCGUUAUUCCAGUCAAGGCAAAGGCAGUUUUUGAACCCCGCGAUGUCCAUCUCUGGGUGGUUCAGUUCCAAUUUGGUUCAUUUCAUGUGGCAACCCUAUCAGAUGGGAGAAGUCAAGCAUUUCUGAAUCACACCAGAAUUGUAAUGGGAGAGACACCAAAUAGAACUCUGAAGCAUGCAGAAAACAAGGAUGAAGAUUCAGCAGUAGCCUGCUUCCUUUCCAGUUGGUCCCACAGCACUGCCCUUCUUGGCUGCUUCCUCCACGAUACGUGGGCAGGAUCCUAAAGAAGGAGAUGAUCCCUUUUUUUUUUCCCCAAGUGAACUGUAACUUUACUGAUUCAGGGAAAUCACAUUGGAAUUACGCUGGGGAUGAUGUAUCCUAGAUGGUUGGGUUUUCAGAUACGUAGAGGAAUGCUCAGUGAGUCAGCCCUGCAGUUUUUGGUGGAGUAGGUCUAUUCCGGUGUGUGGGUGUUCACAGAACAAUUACGUAAGUGCCAGGGUAGCAAGGAACUUUUGACAUAUCUGGCAGCUUAACUGAGUUCUUUUCAGUCAAAAAUAUUCUAAUAGUUGUUCUCUUGCAUUAAACACACAUCAUUGCCUUAGAUGGAUUUGGAGGGGUUGGGGCAUUUUUUGAAGCGUCACUUGUCAGGGCAAGAUAUUGGAGCAGUUUUAAUCUUGAGAAAACAGGAGAUUUUUCACAGUUACAGUGAGACGAACAUUUGUGAGAACCGUUUUAAAUCAUAUAAGAGGGUGCGAAAGUUGCCAUGCCAUAUGCCUGGAAUUUACUAUGUUAGAGCUAAUUGCUGCCAUCGAAUGUAAGGGCCCGUCAGCUUUUUCAUCAUCACACCCACCUCAACACCUUUUUUUUACAUUUUAUUUUAAGGGUUUGGUGGAGUUGGUUUUUUUUUUUUACUUUUUUGCCUACAUAAUUUUUGGGCUGCAGAAUGAUAGUGCAACCCCCCUGCUAAAUCCAGUCAUGCCUUACAUCCCAUAUUCAAGGUGAAUAGGUUAGGCGCCCCACUGACAUACAGUGGAUUCAAUUCCAAGGCAACUGCUCUUCUGCGUGUAUUACGCAGGGAAAUAAGGAAAACUGGUUUGUCUCCCAAGAGCAAGAUACCUAAAUUAGUCAGGCUAAAUCAGUGUCCAAGUGACAUUUUCAGGCAAGAUUUCUCUCUAAAGAUCAAGUAGGAAAGAAACAAAAUCAGAUAACUGUAUUCUUUUUUGUUUGAUCCAAGCUGUGCCUUUACAACCAAAAUCCUCCCAUCAAACUAACCAAUGGAUUUUUUAUUUUUAUUUUUUUUUCUUGGUUAAGUAUUAAAUCUUUCAAGUGAUCAUGA